CGCCCUUCCCGCCGCGCCACAAUGGCGGCGCCCGCCCGGCCGCCUCCCCCGCGCGGCCCCGCGGCCCGCACCUGCGGCAGGCGGAGGAGGAUGCCGGCCGCCUGGAUGAGCUCGCAGCCCAGGAUGCGCAGGUCGGUCUCGCACUGCAAGUCCAGGCCGUCCUGCAUGGAAGGAGUGGGCGAGAGGCGCUCCUCGGGGAUGAGCGAGUGGUCGAUGGCUGUGUACGUUACAAAGAUCGCUGUGCAAGGGGCCGGGAGAGGAGCCAGCGCUCAGCUAGGACGUUGGCACGCUCUGUAGCACGCAGCCUCAGGGCAGGCCUGGGCUUCUGAGAUUCACUUCUUCUAUUAAGAAGAUAAGAGCAACUAUACUGGAUUACUGAAGAGCAGCAGAAGAACAGGUAGCCUAGCCAGAAUAAUAUUCCAGCUUCCCAAAAUGGGUUUCCUGAACCAGAGGUGAUUCUAUGCAUUUAGUAGCCUACAACAGAUUUCUCCUUCAUGAACUGUACAGCCCCUUUUUGAGCCCAUGAAAACUUUCAGCUCCCCAAACCUGCUAAUUUGUGUUAUCUUUCCCAGGAUCACCAUAUAGACAAAGCCCAACCAGGACUAUUAACUUGAAAGCCUGAGAUCCUGCUUUCUUCAAUAGCCCUGUCACUGUCUGCUAGAUAUGGUAACUAUGGUAAUAAGUAAUCACCGCAUAUUAGGAGAGUAUUAACAAAAAUAAAACAGGUAGAAUCCUACACUUGAAAACCAAAAAUUGAAGUGUAAAAGUUUCCACAACAGGAGUUGUUGCAUGACUUCUGAUUAAUCAGUACAGAUAGUCUCAUAUGACAGCGCAUUCCUGACUGACCUCAUGGGUAUCUUCCUAUGAAAUGAGACAAUACUAAGUAAAGAGUUAAGAGCAGAGAAACAAUAGUACAUAGACUAGAAAACGCUCUUGAUCAAUCAGAUGUGAAAACAGAGGCUGACAGGCUGUGUGAGUACAUGAUCACUCGCUAUCCAGCGCUGAGAGACCUGGUGGCCAGAAUUCAAAGCUGACCUCAAUGUGGUGGUGCCAACAGAGGCCAUCUGGAACCCAGAGGUGGGCUUGCAGCCUCAAAACUGAAGCACAGUCAUGGACAGCUGGAAAAAUCAUAUUUUGCUGUUGUUGAAACACCACCUGCAUUGAAGCAAAGAAACUUCACACUAGCGUACUUCAACAAAAGAAGAGAAAACAAAACACUUGCCAUGUACUGUUUUCACUUGGGCUGGAAGCCACAAACCACAACCAACCAAAGAUCUUUGGUUACAAAUCUGUUUUGCAUGUUGUGGCACAUAGCCUCCAGCUGUUAGUUAUUCUUAAAUAAGGAGUAAUUCCAAUGAAUAUUUGUUUGUAUCAUCAACAAUAGUGCUACCUGAUUGUAUAGUUAUCAUUUACAAAAGAACAUAGAAACAAAGAACCUCUUACAGCUACACAUACUUUCCAUGGCCAGAAAAGGUUCUUUUUGUUCAUAUCCUGGAGACACUGGAGUCCCUUCUAUUAUCAUACUUUUUUAAUAAUCUACAACUAUGACCUGAAAACUGAAUUCAGGGAAGAGAGAACCAAUCAACACCACACAGGGGACAAAUACGAACAGAAGUGCUCAAUGCUUGAGCUAGAGGUCAUCUUUAACUAGUUCAGGUAGCAGAAGCGGCACCAACGCUCCCACAGGAAGACGAAGGGGAUGCAUGUGAAAACGGCCACAGCUCUGCCUGCAUUGCAAACGUGCUGACAAGGUGCCAGAUGCUCAAAUCUUUAUUGCUACCAGCUCUGUAUCACCUGAUGAGCUGGUCCAAUGUACAGACACGUGUGUUACUUAUAUGAACAUAACAAUUAAGCUACAGCAGACUUGGAGUGCACGUUAUUUGGAUAAAUCCAGAUAUCACUGAAAUAUCAAUCACUGAAAUAACAAUAAUAAAGAUUCACAGCCUAAAUGGUGCAUCUUCCUGAAAACAAA